rfam:Dipodomys ordii contig_41261, whole genome shotgun sequence.
GGUGGCUCAGUGGUAGAGUGCUUGCCUUGCAUGCAUGAGGCCCUGGGUUCAAUUCUCCAGCACCA